rnacentral:rRNA from 1 species
GACGAACGCUGGCGGCGUGCUUAACACAUGCAAGUCGAACGGAAAGGCCCUGCUUUUGUGGGGUGCUCGAGUGGCGAACGGGUGAGUAACACGUGAGUAACCUGCCCUUGACUUUGGGAUAACUUCAGGAAACUGGGGCUAAUACCGGAUAGGAGCUCCUGCUGCAUGUUGGGGGUUGGAAAGUUUCGGCGUUUGGGGAUGGACUCGCGGCUUAUCAGCUUGUUGGUGGGGUAGUGGCUUACCACCGCUUUGACGGGUAGCCGGCCUGAGAGGGUGACCGGCCACAUUGGGACUGAGAUACGGCCCAGACUCCUACGGGAGGAAGCAGUGGGGAAUAUUGCAAAAUGGGCGGAAGCAUGAUGCAGCAACGCCGCGUGCGGGAUGACGGCCUUCGGGUUGUAAACCGCUUUCGCCUGUGACGAAGCGUGAGUGACGGUAAUGGGUAAAGAAGCACCGGCUAACUACGUG